AUGAACGCUGGCGGCGUGCCUAAUACAUGCAAGUCGAGCGAACAGACGAGGAGCUUGCUCCUCUGACGUUAGCGGCGGACGGGUGAGUAACACGUGGAUAACCUACCUAUAAGACUGGGAUAACUUCGGGAAACCGGAGCUAAUACCGGAUAAUAUAUUGAGCCGCAUGGUUCAAUAGAGAAAGACGGUUUUGCUGUCACUUAUAGAUGGAUCCGCGCCGCAUUAGAUAGUUGGUAAGGUAACGGCUUACCAAGGCAACGAUGCGUAGCCGACCUGAGAGGGUGAUCGGCCACACUGGAACUGAGACACGGUCCAGACUCCUACGGGAGGCAGCAGUAGGGAAUCUUCCGCAAUGGGCGAAAGCCUGACGGAGCAACGCCGCGUGAGUGAUAGAGGUCUUCCGAUCGUAAAACUCUGUUAUUAGGGAAGAACAAAUGUGUAAGUAACUAUGCACGUCUUGACGGUACCUAAUCAGAAAGCCACGGCUAACUACGUU
rnacentral:rRNA from 1 species